rnacentral:rRNA from 1 species
UACAGAGGUGGCAAGCGUUGUUCGGAAUUACUGGGCGUAAAGGGCGCGUAGGCGGUCUUCUAAGUCUUGUGUGAAAUCCCUCGGCUCAACUGAGGAACUGCACGGGAUACUGGAAGACUUGAGUUCGGGAGAGGGAAGCGGAAUUCCGGGUGUAGCGGUGAAAUGCGUAGAUAUCUGGAGGAACACCGGUGGCGAAGGCGGCAUCCUGGACCGACAUUGACGCUGAGGCGCGAAAGCCAGGGGAGCAAACGGG